rnacentral:rRNA from 1 species
GAUGAACGCUGGCGGCGUGCUUAACACAUGCAAGUCGAACGAAGCACUUUAUUCGAUUUUCUUCGGAGAUGAUGAUUUAGUGACUGAGUGGCGGACGGGUGAGUAACGCGUGGAUAACCUGCCUCACACUGGGGGAUAACAGUUAGAAAUGACUGCUAAUACCGCAUAAGCGCACAGUACCGCAUGGUAUGGUGUGAAAAACUCCGGUGGUGUGAGAUGGAUCCGCGUUUGAUUAGCCAGUUGGCGGGGUAACGGCCCACCAAAGCGACGAUCAAUAGCCGACCUGAGAGGGUGACCGGCCACAUUGGGACUGAGACACGGCCCAAACUCCUACGGGAGGCAGCAGUGGGGAAUAUUGCGCAAUGGGGGAAACCCUGACGCAGCGACGCCGCGUGAGCGAUGAAGUAUUUCGGUAUGUAAAGCUCUAUCAGCAGGGAAGAAUAAAUGACGGUACCUGACUAAGAAGCCCCGGCUAACUACGUGCCAGCCGCCGCUGUAA